GAGUUAGAGGUUGCAACUUUAAUAAGUAACUUAUCUAUAGUUUUUAUGGGACGCAUAUAGGUGAGUGAAAGGUAAUGUUGCCGAAGCAAAUGUUUAUCCAUAAUAAAUGUUUGUUGGGACAGUUAUCGAAUAGAUACUGUACUGUCACAAUAUGUGAUGUGCUAC
rnacentral:ncRNA from 1 species